CAUCCGGUCGAUCCUGCCGGAAUCCGACGCUCUCCCCAAGGACACAAGCCAUGCAUGCCCGCGCACCCGGGACGCGGCGGACGGCUCAGGACAACGGUUGCACCCCCCGCGGCGGUCCCUGCUAGCCGGACACCGCUGGCAACCCGGCGCCAAGACGUGCGCGUAAGGGCGGGCGCCCGCUGGCGAGCAGCGUGACGCAGCGACGGCCCGCCCGGGCUUCCGGGGCAUCACCCGGUCGGCGCGGUCGCGGCGCGCCGAGGGCCCGACGCCUGGCGGAGAAUCAGGGUUCGACU
rnacentral:rRNA from 1 species